CUUUCCCAGCUCAUCCAAAAAUUCCACAACUCUAGUGUUCCUGUCAAUUGUAUUGUUUAUGAUUCUUUUCUGCCAUGGGCUCUUGAUGUUGCCAUCCAACAUGGCAUCUAUGGGGCUCCAUUUUUUACUAAUUCAGCCGCAGUGUGUAGCAUUUUCUGUCGAAUACAUCAUGGCCUACUUACCCUUCCCCUGGAGUUGGAGGAUAAUAAACCUUUGGAAUUACCUG
rnacentral:misc_RNA from 1 species